AGAAGAGGAACAAAUGUAAUACUGAACAAUAAAGCUUCAAUUAAUUUUUUAAAAAAAAAUUAGCAGAAGCAACUUUGAGAUUGCUAUAUAGCUGAAGACCCAGAGAAAAUUCCUAGUUGUAUCUUCCGUUUGUGGUCCAUGAUUCAGGACUACCUAGAGCCCCUUCCUGAAAAGGGAUGGAUGAAUGUGGCAGGAGAUGUAAGACAAAUAGUAGAAAGUUACCAGAGGCUUUGAAUCUACUUGUAUCUUCGGCACAUCCAUUACCUCCUCCAGUCCCUGGAGCUACCAUUCCUGUGGGGGAAAGCCCUCUGGACAAUGUGCUUCCCCCCAAAACGAACGAGAAUUGGAGGAGGUGACAGAGAGGGAACAACACAGGCGAAACUGGAAUGAUGGUGGUCUAAUGCAAGCCUUCGGGAAGUUUACUGUUACUCAUAAGCCUCUCCAGUUGCCUUCUAAACAAGCAAGAGCAAGCGUGGGAUCUCUGUCUCUACUCCAGUGGUCUCUGUAAGAGGCUACGCAGGCUGGGGAAGAUACUUUAGGAUUUAGUAGCUAAUCAUACUCUUAAAAUGCAAUUACUAAAACAAAAAGGAGGAGAAUAGGUUGUGCUUGUAUCUUUCUAGAAGGAGCAGUACAGCCAAUUUGGGUGCCAGAACAAUGGUCCCAGAGAGGCUCCUUGUCCCUCCAUUCGAGAGACUGAGAAUUGCCCCAAUGACAGCAAAGAGGAAGAAAAAGAAAAGGCUAGAUAAGCUGUAGAAAUAGAGAGGGAAAUAAGCGAUAGCAAAUAAGCUGUAGAAAUAGAGAGUAGGAAAUAAGUUGUAGAAAUAUAGAAAUAAGCUGUAGAAAAUAAGCAGUAGCAGCAUUAUAAAAGUACAAAUAAGCUGUAGAAAUAGAGAAAUAAGCAGGGGUUGAGACCCAGGAAGGUUUGGGCAGGGGCAGCGAAGCCUACCUAUAGUUCAUAGUUAGAGGUAGAGAAAUAAGUAGGAAAUAAGCUGUAGAAAGUAAGCGGUAGAAAGAAGCAAAAGAAAGUAAGUGGUAGACAUUAGAAAAUGAGCGGUGAGAAAUAUGCUCUGAAAAAUAAGUGGUAGGAAAUAAGCUGUAGAAAUAGAGAAAUAAGCUGUAGAAAUAAAAAAUAAGUUGCAGAAAUAGAGAAAUAAGUCUUAGAGAAAUAAGUGGUAGGAAACAAGCGUUCGGAAAUAGGCGGUAGAAAAUAAGUAAUUAGGAGAUACAAAAUAAGGUAGAAAUCUCCUAGGUUUUGUUUAAGCCACUGUAAAGCAAAAGAUGACUGUGGUUGAUGAUGUUUAAGGAAGUAACUUUUAUUUCUGACCUAGAUUGUAAGUUCUUGUGGCAGUUGCAUUGUUUCUGGGCUUUGGUUAUCUUUGCUUGUGUGACCGGAUAGCUCCCAGGGACUUCGGGUCUGUGUGACACGCCAGACUCGAGUUGGAGGUCUCCAGCUCUGCAGGACCGAGGGCUGCUCGUUUUCAUGCAUCCAUGGCUAGAGAAAGAGGCUGAGAAAGGACCAGACUUCCACCUGUGCGGACGGGGCUGGUUUGACUGGGACUGGUGCGGACUCAGGGCCAAGGCCAACCAUGCAAACAGCCUAAUCCAGGGGACUAGUUUUGCAUCAAGGACAUCUUUCUAUCGGCGGGAUAUCAGCAUGGAGUCAGCUGAAGAAGAUGGCGACUGAGGCCAAGCAGAUGUUGGAAAAGCAAGUGAAAGCUAUGCUAGCGUUGGUAAACUGCCAGUUUUCUGUGAAAUCUUGCGGAGCUAAAACUAAAGACUCUAAGAUCACCCUUGGCUGUGCUGGCGCGGCACAGAAACUUUCUACUAACUAGAGACCCCUUGGUGCAAAUUAUGCCUGACGUGUGAUAACAGCAGGAAGGAGGGGUUCUAAGUCCCCAGUAUGGACAAAACUGAUGGCACACAGUAAACCUAGCAAGCUCAGGGAGCCUGGCAUGGCAUGGGCAAUCUUAAAAACUCAGAAGCCAAAAGUAACCAUAUAGAAUGGUUUGAAGUUAAAACUUUCUAAGUAAAUGUUUGGACAUUUCUUACAACAACACCAAAAGCAAUUGACUCAUGUGAAGCAGGAGAAGGUUCCAUGGAGGGGUAUCAGCAUUUCCAGGGACUCAACUGACAGAAGACAGAUUUAUAAAAAAUGGAGAGCAUUCCCAGAACCCAGCAAUCUAGAGCUUUCCACUUGCUUUCCAGAACAGAAGAAAAUGCUAACCACCCUCAGCCUCCGAGCCUGGGCUCCCUGCAUAUCCCACCCCCGCCCCCUCGCCCAAGGCUGGCUGGCAUGCAAACUGGAAAGCCAUGUUCUGAGGUACGCCCCUGCCAUACUGAGCGUGUCCUCCCAAAAUGAGGCCCAAAACCUGGGUUCCACGGAGUUGAGUGAGCUCCACACUGAGGAGAACCUGUGCCCCAUUUCUAGGAGAGGCAGCAGGCGGGGCGGAGGCCACCCAAGAGGGCCCAGCAAGGGCAGUAGCCUCCCAGGCAGAUCCUGCCCCAGGCAGUGAGGGUGCGAGCAGGAGCCUUCUGUGCACAGGAAGCCCAGUCUGUGUCAGUGAGGUGAGGGGGGAGUAGGCAGUGGCUUUGUCCUUCCUACACUGGUCCCUCCCUCUUGUGUCCAGAGGCAGAGCAGCUAGCGGGCUGGUGGGCGUUGUGCCAGACCAGCCUAGGGUCGUCCAGGGGUGGGUGGGCAUGCAGAGCCCAGCACCUAGGUGACUUAGUUAGUGGCUCUUGAAGGGAAGCAACGGACAACAUGGCAGAGGCUGGGGGACAUGCUGAGAGCUCAGAAGAGUGGCUGCCUCAGCUGCGAGCAGAUGCUCAGGCCAUUCCCUCCGCGGCUGGCUCUGCUGCAGCUGUUCCAGGGGUGACCUGAGUCAGGACUUGGCUGCACACGGGGGAAUGUUUCAACCACGGCCUGUGCCCGUUCCCACGGAAACAUGGUCCCUCCUGGGCUCCUUUGCUGGGUCUGGAAAGCAGUGCUGUCCCGGCCAGCGCCCAGGCGGAGGUGCCCAUAGGAGGUGCGGGCAGGCAGCUCCCCCCACAGCCCCUGAGUCUCCUGCCUGGCACAUCCCACUCAGGCCACCUGCUGUAGGAGGAAGGGUCCUCAUGCCUACAGACUCCUCUCCGAUGCCAAGGGCAGGGCUCCUGGUGGCACAGGUGGCCCUACCCAGACCCAUCCUGCCCUGAGAGGAAGGAACAGCUCCUGGAGGGACCCUCACUCCCCACACAGGCCCCUCCUGGGGCAGCCAGGCCACUUGUCUGACCCUGAGCUCUGAGAACUGGAAGUGUUUAACUUGGUUCGAGGAGCCUUGAAAGCUUCAUUUAUUUAUAGCUUCUUGUUUCAAAACAGUGUUGACAAGAAAUCUUUGGUCAUUCAUACAAACGCUGAGUUGAUGGGAGACAAGUCAUAAUCUAAUUGUUUUUGUGGAGGGCGAGAGCGAAUGUUGUUGAUGAAAUAAACAUGAAAAGGAGAAAGAAAAAUAAAGUGCUCAAAGCUCAGGU